AUCGAUUUGCACAAUCAGGCCGUGCCUUUGUUUCCGCAAACUCUACAGAGGCUUUUGUCAUCUGCACUGGAACACGCUGUAAAGUGGCAGUCCUCCUACAGACGGAUUUGGAACCAUAUUAUAUCGUUGUUAACACCAGGGGCCGUAUGUACGAGGGGCGGAUAAGUCCACUAUCCGAGAAUAGUGCCUAUCCGCCGGAUAAGUGGGGAAAUUUGGUAUGCAUGAAAGGAAAAUGGCCGCGCUGGUGUGUUGCGAUUCAGAAACAGGCAAAUAUGUCGACAAAACUGGUUAUUUCUUGAUCGAACAAAGCAAUUUGACACUUUUUAUAAUGUGGAAAAACAUGAAGAAUUUAAAUUUGAACAACAAGAUAUUCUGAAGAUCACAGAUGAAAUAGCGGGAAACAUCGAAGUGUCCAGUCGGUUGGGCGUGUUAACGUCGCUGUCAAAAAUCUACAAAAGUACAAGUUUGCAACACUUUCAAUAUGUCUACGGUAACUGAUCGGCAUACAUCAGUCAACAAUUUGGUGAGGACUGACAACACUCUUCAGCAGGUGCCAAACUACAAAACGAACAUGGCUGUAGCAAAUGGUGUCAUUCUGUAGCAAAUGGUGUCAUUCUGUCAAUGUGCAGGUACAUGGCACAUAAGUUGUAUACUCUGGUGCAUCUAAAGUGAGGAUAUAUACAGCUGGACAAAGUUCAAGCAAGGUGUUGAAUGUGUGCGUUUUGGAACCUUCUAAGAUUCAUAAAGUUAUUACGGUUUGUGUAAUGCUGCAUAACUGUGCUAGAAAGCUCCAUCUGAUUCAGAGAAAUUCAGUGACAGUGAUCAUCCAGGUUUUGUUUUGUUACAAGAUGAUAACUGAUAGGAAAGAGAUUUCAACCCAAGUGGUUCAUGAUGUUGAUAGCAGAGCUGUUAUUUACUAGUAAUACAUUUACUCUUAAAGACAGCUGUAGAUGACAAAGUAAUUUACAUGCUCUGUUAACACAAAAUGAUAUUCAUAUUUUAAAUUUUUCAUACAUCUUCAUUUUGAAUUUAAAUCAAUAUGCAACAGGAAAAUAAUGUUACAGUUAGAUGAUUAUAAUUGAGAACUUCAAUGCAAAACAAUUCAUAAAAUAAAGACAAAUUAACAAAAUAAUUAUGAAAAAUACAAAUAAAAAAUAAUUUUAAGUAAUAAUUUUUGUUCAUGUACAAUGCUGAGUAACUUUAAUUACAUGUUCCCUGUGACAUGUCACCCACUUUAAUUAACAAUUUAAGAUGUGUUUAUCUUAAGUUAUCUACACUUGGU